rnacentral:lncRNA from 1 species
CCAGAUUUCCUAGAACUACCCUUUCUCAGCCAAUUUAUUACAUAUAAACGUACAAACUGUUGGCACAUAAUUAAAUUAACCUUGCACAAAUAAAUUAUGAAAAGUUAGAAGAGUGAAGAGACUUGAAUAUGAAAAGUGAAAAAACUUGAAUAUGAAUAGUGAAGAGACUUGAAGAUGAAAAGUUAAGAGACUUGAAUAUGAAAAGAUACACACAUGCAUGAAUAGUCACAACUCCU